AGCAGACGGUAAAAUAUUUUCCGGGAAAAUUGAAAAAGUAGGAAUCCAAGAAAAUCGAGAGAGAGGUAAUGGUGUGAAUGAUUAUACCGAACCUGAGAAAAAGGGUUUGUUCAAGGAAGGAAGAAGGUAAUUAUAUUAACAGGAGUGACACUGUCAUUGCAUAUGUAGUGGCUAAAGCAAUAUAGGAAAUAACUUCCGUGCGACGGGUGAAUGAUAUCACUUGAGGAGCGCGAUUCUAUGUUCGUUUUUGCUCUGCCUUGGUGAUGCGCUCCUAGCUCGAAGAGCUACAUGCUGGAGAUAGGUUUAACGAUGAAUUUUGGCACUGAAGUUUUUCUACUGGUAAUCUUGAAGGGUGUUCGAGAUGAGAAACUGAUAUUUGGGUACCAUGAAGUUAACUUUUUUUUCUUUCAAGUUUUCUGUGAAGUCAUGUUACGUUACGUUGCCCAAACUAAAUUAUUUGUGGGUGAUUUUAAAGUAUUAAUUUGAUUUGUGAAGGAUGAUUACUCUUGA